AUGCUCACUUCAGCAGCACAUAUACUAAAAUUGGAAUGAUACGGAGCAGAUUCGCAUGGCCACUGCACAAAGAUAUAUUUAUUUCACAUGCUAAAAAACACGUGGGA
ensembl:snRNA U6 U6 spliceosomal RNA